rnacentral:rRNA from 1 species
CAGCCGUAAACUAUGCGCGUUAGGUGUAUCGGUGACCACGAGUUACCGAGGUGCCGAAGGGAAACCGUGAAACGUGCCGCCUGGGAAGUACGGUCGCAAGGCUGAAACUUAAAGGAAUUGGCGGGGGAGGCACCACAACAGGUGGAGCCUGCGGUUUAAUUGGACUCAACGCCGGGAAGCUCACCGGAUAGGACAGCAGAAUGAUUGCCGGGCUGAAGACCCUGCAUGACUAGCUGAGAGGAGGUGCAUGGCGUAGACGUCU